UGUAGGACUGUCCUAGAAGGAUCUUCAAAAUACAACUGAAGAGGAUAAAUAAAUAGCAAAUCAGCAUAUCAGCCAGCAGUUAUUUGUUUCUGAACAUGCAGAGUCACCUUAAAAUACUACCCACCAGCCACUAAACCAGCAGAAACUAAGGAUGCUGAACUUCAGGAAGGACCAUCCCUGAAAAAACUGGGCUCCUUAUAAAAAUACUCUGAAGUAAAUCAUUGGAGAAUGCUGCUUUGAACAACUACUGCUUCAUUUCAUAUUUUGAAUCACGGACAAGCAAUUUGGUGUCUACUAUGAUCACUGCUUAUGCUGGGAAGUACUGCAAGCCUCAACAGAAUUUAGUCCUUUUGAAUUACUGCAUAGAAGACAACCAAGGGGGAUCCUGGAUGAAAUUAAAGAGAGCUGGAGUAACUGGAUUGAAUCCCCUAAAAACCUGGUUAUAUAUGUACUGCCUUGAAGAGAAAAAUUGCACCCUGUAACCCAGAUUGUACAAGAACUUCUAGCUUAGGCACAGGACUUACAAGAAAGGUGAUAUGAUAAAAAAAAGCAUGGAAGAAACAAUUGGCAGUAGAAGACCAACUGUGACUGUUACUACCAAGCAUUGAAUGCAAACAAGCUCAGUGGCAAGGUCCUUAUUCCAUUGUGGAAAAAAAACCCAGUCCUAUAAACUAUCAAAUCGAUCUAGGAAAUGGAAAAUAUGAGAUCCACCAUACCAAUUUCUUGAGAAAAUGGCAUACACACUGUGCUUGUUGUUCUGAAUAAGGAUCAUCAAGACUCACAGAUAAGACAUAUGAAGGAUUAGUACAAUACCAUUAAUGAAGAGGUACAUAUCAAUCAGUCUCUGUCACCAUCACAAAAAGAUGACCAAAAAGAACUAAUCCAGAUCUUCCACCCUACAUUUACCAAUGUACAACCACAUUAGUGAAAUACGUCAUCAACAGAGGAUGCCAAACCAAUCAGACAGAGACCAUACUGUGUUCCAGAGAGACUCCAGAAUGUAGUAGAGAAAAAAGUGGAUAAAAUGUUAAAAUUGGGAGUGACUGAAGCAUCUCACAGUGAAUGGUGUGCCUCUGUUAUGUUAACCCCAAAACUAAAUGGUGAGAUGAGGUUUUGUGCUGAUAUGAGACAAACACAUUGUUAAAUUUGACAGCAAUCCAAUGUUACAUAUAGAUGACCUUUUGGGUAGACUGAAUAAGACCCAAUAUCUUUCUACCAUCAAUCUGAUGAAAGGCAAAUACCUUUAGAGAGGGCAUCCAGAGAAAAUAUUGCAUUUGCCACUCCACAAGGACUACUUCAGUUUACCAAAAUGCAUUCUGAGCUGCAUGGAGCUCUUCCUACAUUUCAUAGGCUUAUAGACAGAAAAUUAUCAGGAAAAGCAAAAUGGUGUGAGAUCUACUGGACAAUAUUGUGGUAUACAACUAAAAUUGGGAAGACCAUUUGAAACAUUCAGGAAGAGUAAGCAACAAAUUGAAGAAUACAGGACUUACAAUAAACCCUACUAAAUGCCAUCUAGGGUUUAAAGAAUUAAAAUACCUGUGCCUGAGUAGUUACUCCUACCAUUCCCUCUGAGGAUACAUCCUGUGGCCGUAUUAACUGUCUAAACUGUGCAAAACAAACAAACACACACGGGAUGUGACAUCUUGAUAGCCCUGAAAGGUAUCAAUUCUGUGUUAGACCAAUUUACAUUUAUAUCUGGAAAGGUUCCAAAGCCAUCAGUUAAUUUUAUUAAUUUUGGCAUAGAAGACUCAGGUGCAUCAAUCAAUACCAACUUACCAUAUAUGAACAAAGCUGCUUAAUAUGCAUAGAUAUCCCUUUGUAUAUACAAGUAGUCCUCGACCUAUGACCAUUCGUUCAGUGACUGUUCAAAGUUACAACAGUGCUGAAUGAAUAGUGGUUAUGACUGGUUCUCAGAGUUCCAGCUAUCCCAGCACCCCCCCCCAGUCAUGUGAUCACGAUCUGGGUGCUUGGCAACCGGUUUGCACUUAUGAACAGUUGCAGCGCCCCGUGAUCACAUGAUCUCCAUUUGCAACUUUCCCUGCCAGCUUCCCCAGAACGUCAAUGGGGAAGCUGGCAGGGAAGGUCACAAGUCACUGGGGUAAGUCUCUGUACCCACACACCCUACCCGAGCCCCUCUGCUUGUGCCACACCGGCCACUCAUGCACCCCUGCGCACUCUCCCCAACCCGCACUGCACCCUCACACCCUCUGACCCGCACCACACCCUUGGCCCAUGCCACACCUCUCACGCACUCCCUCGCACCCUGUCCCCCACCCACACUGCACCCUCGUGCACACUCCCUGCAUCUCAGGCAUCCCCUCACACCCUUGCACACCAUCCCCAACCUGUGCCACACCCUCACACACACACCCUGACCUACAUCGCACCCUCGUGCAUCUUCUCUGACCCACGCCACACUCUUGCUCUCUCCACCACCCGGCAGUAGCCACUUAGCUGCCUGCUGGCCUGGGACUUGCAACUUCCUGCCAGCUUCC